rnacentral:rRNA from 1 species
UACGUAGGGUGCAAGCGUUGUCCGGAAUUAUUGGGCGUAAAGAGCUCGUAGGCGGUCUGUCACGUCGGCUGUGAAAUCCCGAGGCUCAACCUCGGGUCUGCAGUCGAUACGGGCAAACUAGAGUAUUGCAGGGGAGACUGGAAUUCCUGGUGUAGCGGUGAAAUGUGUAGAGAUCGGGAGGAACACCGGUGGCGAAGGCGGGUCUCUGGGCAAUUCCUGACGCUGAGGCGCGAAAGCGUGGGGAGCAAACGGG